CCUAAAGAAAGACGUGCAAACGGCAGAUUUAGCUCUUGUAUAAUGUAUGUUUAAGUUUCUAGAUUUUAAUUAUAUUUCACACUUAUUUGUAUAUUUCUCAUAAUUUGUGAUUUAAUCCCAUUUUUAUGGUUGUGUUAAUAGUCAGAGUGUCAGCGUGAAUGGGUGAAUUAUUUAUUUAUUUAUUUAUUUAUUUGAAUUUAUAAUCUUUGAUUAGAAAGACGAAUCCAUAAGGUCAAACCAAUUUAUUUUUUAGUUUGUCGGUAUGGAAGGGUAUCGCUGCCAAUAUAAGUUCUUCCGUAUGGAAGGUUAUCGCUGCCAAUAUUAAGUUCUUCGGUAUGGAAGGGUAUCGCUGCCAAUAUUAAGUUCUUCGGUAUGGAAGGGUAUCGCUGGCAAUAUUAAGUUCUUCGGUAUGGAAGGGUAUCGCUGCCAAUAUUAAGUUCUUCGGUAUGGAAGGAUAUUGCUGCCAAUAUUAAGUUCUUCGGUAAUGGUAAUGUGAAAAUACCUUAAAUGACAAAGUUACGUGUGAAGAAUAUCUCUCAAUAAAUUUGACAUUUGCGCUUUGUGACAUCUUUCUCAUAGCAGUUUCUACACAGCAUCUUUCUCAUAGCAGUUUCUACACUGCAUCUUUCUCAUAGCAGUUUCUACACAGCAUCUUUCUCAUAGCAGUUUCUACACUGCAUCUUUCUCAUAGCAGUUUCUACACAGCAUCUUUCUCAUAGCAGUUUCUACACAGCAUCUUUCUCAUAGCAGUUUCUACACAGCAUCUUUCUCAUAGCAGUUUCUACACAGCAUCUUGCUCAUAGCAGUUUCUACACAGCAUCUUGCUCAUAGCAGUUUCUACACAGCAUCUUGCUCAUAGCAGUUUCUAGACUGCAUCUUUCUCAUAGCAGUAAAUUUGAUAGGCAAAUGAUGGAUGUCACGUAAGGAUGGAAACAACCCAACAGACGUUAAUAUUCCUAUCAAGCCACUAUCAUUAUCCGUAUUAGGACUUUGUGCAUUAUACUUUUUAUCACUGGACAUUUGAGCAGACCAUUUAAUAUUGACAGUGAUACCCUUCCAUACUUCGUAGGCUUGAUAAAUAAAAUAACACUCGAGUCUCAUGAAAAAUGUUUUAGUUAGAAUUUCAAAGCUUUAAACCGUGGAAUCAAAAGCUCUUAAGAAGAGCAUUCAAGCAUUUUUAUUUUUUUAAUUAUUAUUUUUUUGCCCAAGUAAUAGGACGCAAAAUUUUAAUAGCCAAUCCUGAAAAACUAAAAUUCAAAUUGGUAUGAACUAAUUGUGAUAUUUUCAAUGUGGAUACACAUGGAGAAACCUACACUGUAAUCCCGGUAGCGUUUAAUCUUGUGUAUUAAGCAUUAAUUUCUUUAACAGUGAUCAAGAAAUUAAACACUUGUAAAUUGGACACUCAAUAUCAAAAUUGAAUGGUCAGCUUUAAACCAGUCACAAGAACAAAUUAGAUGAUUUUUGGUGAUUUUAAAUGAUUUUUAUGAAUUUUCAAACAAGGUUUUGAUAUUGAAUGACUGUUAAAGAGAUUAAUGCUAAAUACACAAGCUUAAAUGCUGCCUGGGUUACAGUGAGAGCUUGUAUACUAUGCAGUUGUACAUUAUUUAAUAUUUUGCAUACUACCAGAAUUUUCUUACCAUUUUUUUAAAAUUGUCAAUAGUCUUGUACGGUACACGUUGAUAUAUGGAAAGAUUGAAAUGUCAUCCAUUAUUUCACCAAGGAUUGUUACCAAUGUGCAAUAAAAUGAAAAUCUACCUGA